GUACAAUACAUAUAAAAAUUACAUGAUACCGACCGGAUAUACGCGUGUUUUAUUUUAUACAUAUACAUAAGUAUAUAUACACUUACAUUAAAAAACACACAUACAUUUAUUAACACAUACUUAUAUAGAUGUAAUAAAAAAAAAAUAAAUAACAAUAAUAACAACUAAAGCAAAUAUAUACAUAAAAUAAAAAUAAAUAAUUUUUAUUAAAAAUAAAAGAUAAUUUUCCAAAAUAUUAAAUAUAAGUGGAAAAAGCAAAUAAAAUUGUUAUAUUUGAUAGAAAAUUCAAUUAAAAAAUCUGUAUGUGAAAUAAAUGUUCGAAGUAAAUAGAAAUUGCGGUCAUUUGGUAACAAAUACCAGAGAAUAUUUAAGUGAAAACAACUAUUUUUUUUACAAACACUUUCACACACUUACUGAUACAACAACAUUUUGACAUUCACACCCACUUUAAUGAUUUCCCUACAAAAACUAAUGAAUAAAUAGUAAAACAAACCAACAAACAAAUAAAAGAAAUUUCAAAAACAAAAAAAAAAAAAAAAAACUGAUGCCAGAACUUUAAACCAAAACAAGAAACUUCCAAUAAAGACUAAACAUGUUGCCGCUAGUCUUAGUGCGUCACAGUAGAGCAAACAAAUGAAUCUAAAGCCCACGACUAUAAAUAUAAAUGUAAUUUUCUCAGAAAUAACAACAACAUCAAAACCAAUAACUAUUUUAAAGAACUGACAAAAAACAUUUGAAAUAUUUUUUUUUAAUAUUAACAAAAAACUAUUAAACAGAAACAAUGCAUCAGGUACUAAGUUAUGAAACAGCAGUGCGUGCCAAUAAUGUGUCAGAAUAUCGGGAAUAUGUCACCAAACGGACCUGCAUCAGUUUAGUGGUAACAAUUGCAUUUUUACAUUAAUCUCGGGCUAUUUAUUGGGCAAUUUCGUGUCAGAACGUAAAAAUCACAUACGUAUGCUGCUGACAAAAAAGGCCAUUAGUUCUCCGCCCGAUGAUAAAUCAUCACAAACCAUUGAUAUCACAAGUACUGAUUACAUGAACUUACAGGAAUUACACGCCUAUCAAAAGACCAAAUCCAAACUCUUAGCAUCAGCUGAAUCACUUAGUAAACUGCUGCAGCGUGAUGAAAGCUAUCGCUCAACCUCAUUGAAUACGGAAAUAUUUAACAAGUACAUAUCGUGUACCCAAGAUGUACCACCCAAUACGAACAUCGAAACCAGUAAAUUUAUUGAACAACUGGUUGACAAUACAUCUGCCAGACAAAGAGAUUGUAUGCGAAUAAUACAAGUUAUAAUUGAAAAUAGUUUGAUAACGACUUAAAGCGAACAUUAAGGAGAUGCAUAGUAUAUUAUUUUUUACCUCUCUAAUAGAAAUUAGUAGCAGUGUUCACGGUCUCAAGUAUUAGACUUUUCAGUCUAUGAGAAAAUUUCUAAAAUAUGUAUAUUUUGUCUAAAAACAAACAUUAAAUCAUUUGUGCUUCAGAUCGUCUAGAAAAUUAUAAUUUUAAAAUAAAUUUAAAAUGGCUU